rnacentral:rRNA from 1 species
ACUAGCAGUAAGAGUUUGAUCAUGGCUCAGAACGAACGCUGGCGGCAUGCCUAACACAUGCAAGUCGAGCGCUCUCGUUCGGAGGGAGCGGCGGACGGGUGAGUAACGCGUGGGAACGUGCCCCUUGGUGCGGAACAACAGCUGGAAACGGCUGCUAAUACCGCAUGAUGUCUACGGACCAAAGAUUUAUCGCCAAGGGAUCGGCCCGCGUCGGAUUAGGUAGUUGGUGGGGUAACGGCCCACCAAGCCGACGAUCCGUAGCUGGUUUGAGAGGAUGAUCAGCCACACUGGGACUGAGACACGGCCCAGACUCCUACGGGAGGCAGCAGUGGGGAAUCUUGGACAAUGGGGGCAACCCUGAUCCAGCCAUGCCGCGUGAGCGAUGAAGGCCCUAGGGUUGUAAAGCUCUUUCACCCGCGAAGAUAAUGACGGUAGCGGGAGAAGAAGCCCCGGCUAACUCCGUGCCAGCCGCCGCGGUAAUUC